GGCUGGACAGCUGAGCCAGCAGUAGCUGUCAGACGUCACCGCUGGAAGCCAGCCGCUGAGAGAUUAGGUCUGUUCCUUUGUUUUUUAGUGUUACACUUUUGAGUGUAAGUGUAAGAAAUUCUAUGGACAUUUGAGUGUAAAAUGACAGCGGAUGUGACAGCGGCUCAUGACAGCGGACAGUAUUAAACGAAAAUUAUCGGUGUGCCAAUCAAGCAAAGGAACAAGGAACUUCCGAAUAUGGCCUAACUGGGGGCACAUAACAUAACCUAAUCGAUCCUAAUAUUUACAUUUGUAAAGAAUAUCCUGUUUGUUUUUAUUGUCGAUUGUGCAGCGAAAUUGUGAUAGCAAAUCAAAUAUAAAGUAGUUUAUCGCCUACAGAACUGAAUUAGUCCAUAGCAGUUAUCAGUUUUUCUUUCUUGGGAAGCUUAUACAUGUAACUUUUAUUGUUGUAAAUUGUGCGAGUAGGGCAGACAGGGAAAAGUCUUAUUUUGUACUGUUCCCAAGGCUCCCCAUGCAAUACAUUUAAAUGAAUUAUCCAAACAAAGCCGGGGACAAUGGAUAAAAGCCACAAGAAGAACAGAUAUAAGGGAACUAAAAUUAAAAUAUGAAAAGUAAACAUUUUAUAAGUGGAACAACCACCAGAUAUUUAAAAGGUAUAAAAAGAAGAAACUGCUGGAAUUUCAAAACAAAUGUGUUUGACUAGUAAAGAUUUGGAUAAAUAACAGGAGUUACUUUGGGCUAUAGCUACGUGCAGAUUUAUUUCCUUGUGGCUUCCUAUGUUAAUUCUUAUUAAUUAUACACUUAAAUAUGUUUUUAGUCUCAGGAAGAUUUUAUAUUUGAUUAUUUUUGAAUAAACAUUAUUAUUAUUAUUACCUUAAUUUCCAUUAAAUAAAUUUACUGUAAUCAAUAAAGUAAUCGUUUAAUUGUUAAUAAAUUAUCAAGUAUGAUUCCCAAA